rnacentral:rRNA from 1 species
CAGCCGUAAACUAUGCGCGUUAGGUGUAUCGGUGACCACGAGUUACCGUGGUGCCGAAGGGAAACCGUGAAACGUGCCGCCUGGGAAGUACGGUCGCAAGGCUGAAACUUAAAGGAAUUGGCGGGGGAGCACAACAACGGGUGGAGCCUGCGGUUUAAUUGGACUCAACGCCGGACAACUCACCGGGAACGACAGCAAUAUGUAGGCCAGGCUGAAGACCUUGCCUGAAUCGCUGAGAGGAGGUGCAUGGCGUAGACGUCU